rnacentral:rRNA from 1 species
GAUGAACGCUGGCGGCGUGCCUAAUACAUGCAAGUCGAGCGAACGGACGAGAAGCUUGCUUCUCUGAUGUUAGCGGCGGACGGGUGGGUAACACGUGGAUAACCUACCUAUAAGACUGGGAUAACUUCGGGAAACCGGAGCUAAUACCGGAUAAUAUUUUGAACCGCAUGGUUCAAAAGUAAAAGACGGUCUUGCUGUCACUUAUAGAUGGAUCCGCGCUGCAUUAGCUAGUUGGUAAGGUAACGGCUUACCAAGGCAACGAUGCAUAGCCGACCUGAGAGGGUGAUCGGCCACACUGGAACUGAGACACGGUCCAGACUCCUACGGGAGGCAGCAGUAGGGAAUCUUCCGCAAUGGGCGAAAGCCUGACGGAGCUACGCCGCGUGAGUGAUGAAGGUCUUCGGAUCGUAAAACUCUGUUAUUAGGGAAGAACAUAUGUGUAAGUAACUGUGCACAUCUUGACGGUACCUAAUCAGAAAGCCACGGCUAACUACGUG